AGUGAACGCUGGCGGUAGGCCUAACACAUGCAAGUCGAACGGCAGCACAGUAAGCGCUUGCUCUUACGGGUGGCGAGUGGCGGACGGGUGAGGAAUACAUCGGAAUCUACUUUUUCGUGGGGGAUAACGUAGGGAGACUUACGCUAAUACCGAAUACGACCUACGGGUGAAAGCAGGGGAUCUUCGGACCUUGCGCGAUUGAAUGAGCCGAUGUCGGAUUAGCUAGUUGGCGGGGUAAAGGCCCACCAAGGCGACGAUCCGUAGCUGGUCUGAGAGGAUGAUCAGCCACACUGGAACUGAGACACGGUCCAGACUCCUACGGGAGGCAGCAGUGGGGAAUAUUGGGCAAUGGGCGCAAGCCUGACCCAGCCAUACCGCGUGAGUGAAGAAGGCCUUCGGAUUGUAAAGCCCUUUUAUUGGGAAAGAAAAGCAGCAGGUUAAUACCCCGCUGUUCUGACGGUACCCAAAGAAUAAGCACCGGCUAACUUCGUG
rnacentral:rRNA from 1 species